rnacentral:rRNA from 1 species
GACGAACGCUGGCGGCGUGCCUAAUACAUGCAAGUCGAACGCAGAGGGGACGGGUGAGUAACACGUGGGUAACCUCCCAUCAGAGGGGAUAACACUUGGAAACAGGUGCUAAACCGAUACUGAUGGAUGGACACGCGGUGCAUUAGCUAGGUGGGCAGGUAACGGCUUACCAAGGCAACGAUGCAAAGCCGACCUCAGUGGGGGGUCUGCAGCACUGGGACUGAUACACGGCCCAUAAUCCUACGGACGGCAUCAUUAGGGGAUCUUCGGCAAUGGACGAUAGUCUGACCGAGCAACGCCGCGUGAGUGACGAAGGUUUUCGGAUCGUAAAACUCUGUUGUUAGAGAAGCGGUAUCUAACCAGAAAGCCACGGCUAACUACGCGCCAGCAGCCGCGGUAAUAC